rnacentral:rRNA from 1 species
UAACCUACCCAUCAGAGGGGGAUAACACUUGGAAACAGGUGCUAAUACCGCAUAACAGUUUAUGCCGCAUGGCAUAAGAGUGAAGGGCGCUUUCGGGUGUCGCUGAUGGAUGGACCCGCGGUGCAUUAGCUAGUUGGUGAGGUAACGGCUCACCAAGGCCACGAUGCAUAGCCGACCUGAGAGGGUGAUCGGCCACACUGGGACUGAGACACGGCCCAG